UACGUAGGGGGCAAGCGUUGUCCGGAUUUACUGGGCAUAAAGCGCACGUAGGCGGAUCGUUAAGUCAGGGGUGAAAUCCUGGAGCUCAACUCCAGAACUGCCUUUGAUACUGCCGAUCUUGAGUCCGGAAGAGGUGAGUGGAACUCCUAGUGUAGAGGUGGAAUUCGUAGAUAUUAGGAAGAACACCAGUGGCGAAGGCGGCUCACUGGUCCGGUACUGACGCUGAGGUGCGAAAGCGUGGGGAGCAAACAGG
rnacentral:rRNA from 1 species